rnacentral:rRNA from 1 species
AUUGAACGCUGGCGGAAUGCUUUACACAUGCAAGUCGAGCGGCAGCGCGGCCUUCGGGCUGGCGGCGAGCGGCGAACGGGUGAGUAAUGCAUCGGAACAUGCCAAGUCGUGGGGGAUAACACUUCGAAAGAAGUGCUAAUACCGCAUACGUCCUGAGGGGGAAAGCGGGGGAUCGCAAGACCUCGCGCGAUUGGAGUGGCCGAUGUCAGAUUAGCUAGUUGGUGGGGUAAAGGCCUACCAAGGCGACGAUCUGUAGCUGGUCUGAGAGGAUGAUCAGCCACACUGGGACUGAGACACGGCCCAGACUCCUACGGGAGGCAGCAGUGGGGAAUUUUGGACAAUGGGGGCAACCCUGAUCCAGCCAUUCCGCGUGAGUGAAGAAGGCCUUCGGGUUGUAAAGCUCUUUCGGCAGGAACGAAACGGUGGGCUCUAACAUAGUCCGCUAAUGACGGUACCUGAAGAAGAAGCACCGGCUAACUACGUG